GAAAGACAUUGAGGGGGUUCCUGAGGUUCCUUUUCUGCCAGCAGCUCCUUCAGUCCCUCUUCUCUCCAAUUCCAGAUCCAGAUAUGGUUCCAGAAUAGAAGGGGGAAGCACCGGAGACUUUAUACUGGAGACAGGACACCUGGGAGCAGCCUCUGUACCCUGCAGAGCCAGUUAUGUGUAGACCCCAGACAUGAUCCAUUCUCCCUGUUUCAUUGUCUCUGCAGGGACCAGCAAGCUCUGCCUUUGACUCCAGAAUCGACCUGCCUCCCCUCCAGCCAGCUCUCAGCUGUAGUUCCAGGGCUACAGCACACAUGCCCCAGAAACCAGCAUAGAAACCUCUCCCCCUGCUGUGCAACCAGUGGCUAUUGACUCUCCUUCCUCCACUAUCCGCAGGUUCAGUCCAUGCAGUCUCUGACUGGAGCUGUCACUGUUAAUCACUCUGCUCUCUUCAUGGACACAUGUUAACACAUAGGAAGUAACUUCAGCUUUCCUGUCUGGACUCCCCAGUGGCUCUGUUUCCCAGCCUGAGGCAGGGAGUUCACAGGCUCUUCCAUUCCCGAGGAAUAUCUGACACUCUUCACUCAUGAAAGCACCAAGAUUCCUUCAGGCUCUAAGCUAAAAGCUGGGCAGAGGGAGAGGGAAAGAGCUGUGGUUUAGGUGUUUGUAGAAUGCUGGGAGGGUCUCUCUCAUUUCAGUGAUGCUUUUCUGCAGUUAGAGUGAAUCUAUUGUCUUAUUGUGGUUUUGCUAAUUUAUAAUAAACCUGUUUUAAAUAA